rfam:Strongyloides venezuelensis genome assembly, scaffold: SVE_contig0000021
UAUACGGCCCCAUUUAGGGCCACCUAUCAUUAAAAAUAAAUUAUUU